AGUGCCAGGACCAGAAGCAAUGGACACAAACAGAAACACAAGAUGUUCUUUCUGAACACCAGGAAACACUUCUUCCCUGAGAUGACAAAUGAGCACUGGAACAGACUGUGCAGAGAAGUUGUGGAUUACAAGCAUGUGGUUGAAAGUUUUCAAGAGUCAGAGAGAUAAAGGUCUGAAUAACCUGGUCUGAUCCUUCUGUGAGCAGGAGGUUGGGCUAGAGGCCUCCCUUUCAACCUGAAUUAUUUUAUGAGUCCAUGAGACUCUCAUAUAUUUAUCUUCUACAGCAAGUACUAUCUUAGAGAUAAUACUCUGAUUUGUUGCUCUAGCCCACAGCUACUUUCCCGGUAAUGUAAAUUUUUCAAGUACAAAAAUGCACCCAUGAUUAGUUCAUUGCAGGAUCAGGGCAACAAUGGGCAUAAGAGCCCGUAUAUAUAAUCCAAUGCUGUUUCAUACUUCUAUGUUUUUCAGAUUUCAAAUGAUGCAUCUGAUUGCCAGCAACAAACUCAAAAUCUUCAAAAAAGAAAAGAGCUGGAGCAGGGACUUAACUCUUGGACUUGGCAAGAUCAAUUCUGAAAUGAAAUUAAGCUGGUUGGAAUGUCUAGCAUGA
rnacentral:lncRNA from 1 species